GAAGAGUUUGAUCAUGGCUCAGAUUGAACGCUGGCGGCAGGCCUAACACAUGCAAGUCGAACGGUAACAGGAAGCAGCUUGCUGCUUUGCUGACGAGUGGCGGACGGGUGAGUAAUGUCUGGGAAACUGCCUGAUGGAGGGGGAUAACUACUGGAAACGGUGGCUAAUACCGCAUAACGUCGCAAGACCAAAGAGGGGGACCUUCGGGCCUCUUGCCAUCAGAUGUGCCCAGAUGGGAUUAGCUUGUUGGUGAGGUAACGGCUCACCAAGGCGACGAUCCCUAGCUGGUCUGAGAGGAUGACCAGCCACACUGGAACUGAGACACGGUCCAGACUCCUACGGGAGGCAGCAGUGGGGAAUAUUGCACAAUGGGCGCAAGCCUGAUGCAGCCAUGCCGCGUGUAUGAAGAAGGCCUUCGGGUUGUAAAGUACUUUCAGCGGGGAGGAAGGUGUUGUGGUUAAUAACCGCAGCAAUUGACGUUACCCGCAGAAGAAGCACCGGCUAACUCCGUGCCAGCAGCCGCGGUAAUACGGAGGGUGCAAGCGUUAAUCGGAAUUACUGGGCGUAAAGCGCACGCAGGCGGUCUGUCAAGUCGGAUGUGAAAUCCCCGGGCUCAACCU
rnacentral:rRNA from 5 species